rnacentral:tRNA from 1 species
AGUUGGUUAGAGCGCGCGCUUGAUAAGCGUGAGGUCGGAAGUUCAAGUCUUCCCAGGCCCACCACUUUCAUCGAGUGAGCAUUCGUCUUCUGGUUACGGGGCCAUAGCUCAGCUGGGAGAGCGCGUGCUUUGCAAGCAUGAGGUCGUCGGUUCGAUCCCGUCUGGCUCCACCAGAUGGUUUGAUUGCCGAGGCAGUUUGCGCCUAGGUCUUGCACCUAAAUCGUCCGCGAAACAUCACUUCGCACCCACUAGUCCGGAUGGACAGUGAUGUGCGUGAUUUCUGACAUCGUAAAGAGGAGAUCGAUCCGAGUUGGAUCGUGCAGCAAAUUGUUGCGCGAGCCUUCAUUAUCUCCGGAUCAUUUCGGCGCUCGCUUCCAACCGUGAGGUUGGCUGCGAGUUGUAAAUGAUCCUUUUAGCGAAGCUUGACCGCCUCGCUAUCGGAACGAUCUUACGAAGCAAGCUGGUCUUUCUAGUCAAUGUCCGGCUGCACGUAGCAUUCAUCGAGGGUGCGCGCCGCAAGGCAAUCGUGCAGACAACAUUCUGCCGAGUGUGUGGACAUUGAUAAUGAGAGCAAUCAAGUGCCUUAAGGGUGUUCGGUGGAUGCCUUGGCGCUGAGAGGCGAUGAAGGACGUGCUACGCUGCGAUAAGCCGUGGGGAGCUGCGAAGAAGCUUUGAUCCAUGGAUUUCCGAAUGGGGAAACCCCGGUGGAUGCCUUGGCGCUGAGAGGCGAUGAAGGACGUGCUACGCUGCGAUAAGCCG